CGAAGGCCUGACGGAGCAAUACCGCGUGAGGGAGGAAGGCUUUUGGGUUGUAAACCUCUUUUAUUAAGGAAGAAGAAAGUGACGGUACUUAAAGAAUCAGCAUCGGCUAACUCCGUGCCAGCAGCCGCGGUAAGACGGAGGAUGCAAGCGUUAUCCGGAAUUAUUGGGCGUAAAGCGUCCGUAGGCGGUUCAUCAAGUCUGCCGUUAAAGACUGCAGCUCAACUGUGGGCCGGCGGUGGAAACUGAGGAACUUGAGUAUGGUAGGGGUAGAGGGAAUUCCCAGUGUAGCGGUGAAAUGCGUAGAUAUUGGGAAGAACACCAGUGGCGAAGGCGCUCUGCUGGGCCAUAACUGACGCUGAGGGACGAAAGCUAGGGGAGCG
rnacentral:rRNA from 1 species